CCUACGGGAGGCAGCAGUGGGGAAUAUUGCGCAAUGGGCGAAAGCCUGACGCAGCGACGCCGCGUGAGGGAUGAAGGUCUUCGGAUCGUAAACCUCUGUCAGCAGGGAAGAACGGUCACUGUGCUAAUCAGCAGUGAAUUGACGGUACCUGCAAAGGAAGCACCGGCUAACUCCGUGCCAGCAGCCGCGGUAAUACGGAGGGUGCGAGCGUUAAUCGGAAUUACUGGGCGUAAAGCGCUCGUAGGCGGUAUGUCAAGUCAAGGGUGAAAUCCCCGCGCUCAACGUGGGAACUGCCUUUGAAACUGGGAAACUGGAGGGUGGGAGAGGAUAGUGGAAUUCCAGGGGUAGGAGUGAAAGCCGUAGAUAUCUGGAGGAACAUCAGUGGCGAAGGCGACUAUCUGGCACAUAACUGACGCUGAGGAGCGAAAGCGUGGGUAGCAAACAGGAUUAGAUACCCGAGUAGUC
rnacentral:rRNA from 1 species